rnacentral:rRNA from 1 species
GAGUUUGAUCGUGGCUCAGAACGAACGCUGGCGGCAGGCUUAACACAUGCAAGUCGAGCGCCCCGCAAGGGGAGCGGCAGACGGGUGAGUAACGCGUGGGAACGUACCUUUUGCUACGGAAUAACUCAGGGAAACUUGUGCUAAUACCGUAUGUGCCCUUCGGGGGAAAGAUUUAUCGGCAAAGGAUCGGCCCGCGUUGGAUUAGCUAGUUGGUGAGGUAAGGCUCACCAAGGCGACGAUCCAUAGCUGGUCUGAGAGGA